rnacentral:rRNA from 1 species
GUCGAACGGACUCAUAUUGAAACCUAGUGAUGUAUGAGUUAGUGGCGGACGGGUGAGUAACGCGUGGAGAACCUGCCGUAUACUGGGGGAUAACACUUAGAAAUAGGUGCUAAUACCGCAUAAGCGCACAGCUUCGCAUGAAGCAGUGUGAAAAACUCCGGUGGUAUACGAUGGAUCCGCGUCUGAUUAGCUUGUUGGCGGGGUAAAGGCCCACCAAGGCGACGAUCAGUAGCCGGCCUGAGAGGGUGAACGGCCACAUUGGGACUGAGACACGGCCCAAACUCCUACGGGAGGCAGCAGUGGGGAAUAUUGCACAAUGGGGGAAACCCUGAUGCAGCGACGCCGCGUGAGUGAAGAAGUAUCUCGGUACGUAAAGCUCUAUCAGCAGGGAAGAUAAUGACGGUACCUGACCAAGAAGCCCCGGCUAACUACGUGCCAGCAGCCGCGGUAAUACGUAGGGGGCAAGCGUUAUCCGGAUUUACUGGGUGUAAAGGGAGCGUAGACGGCAGCACAAGUCUGGAGUGAAAUCCCGGGGCUUAACCCCGGAACUGCUUUGGAAACUGUGCGGCUGGAGUGCAGGAGGGGUAAGCGGAAUUCCUAGUGUAGCGGUGAAAUGCGUAGAUAUUAGGAGGAACACCGGUGGCGAAGGCGGCUUACUGGACUGUAACUGACGUUGAGGCUCGAAAGCGUGGGGAGCAAACAGGAUUAGAUACCCUGGU